UCUACGGGAGGCAGCAGUGGGGGAUAUUGCACAAUGGGGGGAACCCUGAUGCAGCGACGCCGCGUGGGUGAAGAAGCGCCUCGGCGCGUAAAGCCCUGUCAGCAGGUAAGAAAAUGACGGUACCUGACGAAGAAGCCCCGGCUCACUACGUGCCAGCAGCCGGGGGAAUACGGAGGGGGCAAGCGUAAUCCGGAUUUACUGGGUGUAAAGGGGGCGCAGACGGCGAUGCAAGCCAGGAGUGAAAGCCCGGGGCCCAACCCCGGGACUGCUGUUGGAACUGCGUGGCUGGAGUGCAGGAGGGGCAGGCGGAAUUCCUGGUGUAGCGGUGAAAUGCGUAGAUAUCAGGCGGAACACCAGUGGCGAAGGCGGCGUACUGGACAGUAACUGACGUUGAGGCUCGAAAGCGUGGGGAGCAAACAGGAUUAGAUACCCGGGUAGUC
rnacentral:rRNA from 1 species